rnacentral:rRNA from 1 species
UACGGGGGGAGCAAGCGUUGUUCGGAUUUACUGGGCGUAAAGGGCGCGUAGGCGGCCACCGCAAGUCGAUUGUGAAAUCUCCGGGCUUAACCCGGAAAGGUCAACCGAUACUGCGGGGCUAGAGUGCAGAAGGGGCAACUGGAAUUCUCGGUGUAGCGGUGAAAUGCGUAGAUAUCGAGAGGAACACCUGCGGCGAAGGCGGGUUGCUGGGCUGACACUGACGCUGAUGUGCGAAAGCUAGGGGAGCGAACGGG